GGUGGAGUGGCCGAGUGGUUAAGGCGCUGUGUUGUACGUAUCUCCUCAGAUGUUCGAGUUCGAUUCUGUUGCUAACAAAUUCUACAGUAGGUUAUCAUCUGAUACCUCAAGCCCGCAGUGGGAAACCUCGCGAGUUCGAAUCUCGUCUCCAUCA
rnacentral:tRNA from 1 species